CUUACUGCAAACUGCUACCCAUUUCCGUUCCUGUUCAGUUGCUUGCUUUACUUGAUUAUUUGCCCCAAGUUGCUUAUGGUAACUAAAAAAAAAGGGGGGGUAUCUCUACAAUUAUGUCAUAGUACAAACAUAAUUAUUGCUUUUAAAGUUGUUCAGUUGCUUGCUUUCCACUGUAAACUUCAGCCAGUAGCAAUCGGUUGCAGCUCCCAGUAAUAAAAUUCCAUGUGUAAUGUAAUGCCUGGGGGGUUCCCCCUCUGACCUUAGCAAUUGUUCCUAUUCGUUAUUUGUGUGAUCACACCAUCCAUUGCUCUCACCAUCUUGUUUAUUUUUUUUCUUUCAAAAUAUUUAAUUCUUAAUACUUACCCAGAGAUCUUUGCCUUUAUUUUUAGGCCUUCCGAGCACUCCCUGAUUCAUUGGACGAGAUAGAUGCUAAAUGAAGAAAGAUCUAGAGCCUCAUGCUUCACAGGCUUAACUGCUUCAGUUGUGGAUGAUUACAACAAACGAACAAUAGAAAUACAAGGAACUUGACAGAAAAGAACUCGAGCUGGAGAAUUACAGGCGGAAUAUUUCACAGCUGCUCCAGAAUCUUACCUAUGCAGAAGAAAUGACCAUGUUGUUUGUUUACAAUGGUUCAAUGCUGGAACCCACAAAAUGGAAUUUGAAACCAUUCCAUAGAAGGCAGAAGAGAGUUGCAGCGGUGGAUGAAUAAAGUGCUGAUUUCUAUUUAAGGCUUAAAACAGCUUUGUGCACUGACCAUAUGCUAAACAUGCAUCCUGCAAAUGCUCAUUGCAAAAAAAAACCAUAACAUUCCUUAUGUUAUUUUAUAAUUUCUUGUAAUUUAGAAUUGCAGUACAUUUAAUAUAUAGCUUUGUGAACUUUUUUUUUAGUUUUAGUUCAGUAGUUCCCAAGCUGUAGAACUGGCCUUUUUGGGGAUAUGGGGCAGGGGGACCAACCUGAAGGCCAGUUAUGAUGGGGAAUGUAUCUAUUUCAUCUUUGAAAUAUUCCAGAAAUCUUAGCACAAAGUUCAAGGAGUGGUUUUGGGGGUAUAUAUUGUUAGAAAUAUGGCACUCUUCAUAUACAUAUAACAUUGAUAUGAGUUUGAGGGAGCCCUGAAAAAAACAUUGAUCUCCAAGGUGGGCUUAAACUGAAAGUCCCGCAAACACAGAUAUAAAGCAAUAAAAUUGUGUGAAGGUGUGCAACAUGUAUUUAAAUUAUGUUAUAUUCCAUUUUAUAAUUUGGAAAACUGUAGCUUUACACUUGUGUCUUGAAAAGAUUUUGUUUUAGUUGUCUUGAAAAUAGUUUUCAAGAUAUUAAAAAUGAAAAUGUGCUCAUUUUUAU